CGGACGCAGCCGAGGUUGAAGCAGAUCCUGGAGUUGGGCUCGGCCACCCUGGUCAGACAGUCGAGUGCGGAGUGCCAGUCUCUGCGGUCGAUGGCCUGCACGGCCCGGUUCCAAUCCCCCAGAAAAUCCCGUGUUAAGUUUUACAGGUCGGUUUAAGAAGCUGCGGGCAGUGUGGAAGAAGCUGCUGUUGAACUUUGAUCCUGCCCGAUGGAAGCAUCGAGAAGAGGAUAUGGCCAGGGCGGGAGCCAUGGACUUGAUUACCCAAGAUUGCCAAGUGUGUGUGGCAUUUUUUUAUGUAUGGAAAGUUGCAACCAGCAGAUCUUUUUGGGCCAGAAUGUAGAUAAUGAAUGGGCAGUGCUGGAACUCAUCAUGGGGAACAUAACCAGCAGUACAGUGCAAGAUGUAAAAAGUUACAAUAAUGAAUAACUGUGCAAAAGAGAAGUAGCAAUGUACUGUUCCAGAAAUCUCAUGGCAGAGGGAAAGUGGCUGUUCCAAAAACAUCGAGCGCGGGUCUUCAGGCUCCUGUACUUUCUCCUUGAUGGUAUUAACGAGAAGAGAUUAUGUCUUGGGUGAGGAAGGACCUCCAUGAUGGAUGCCACCUUGAGAAGAUCUCCUUGAUAGUAGGGAGGCAUAUGCCUGUGAUGAAGCUGGCUGAGUCUACAACACUAUACAGCUUAUUGUGAUCCUGUGCACUGGAGCUUCCAUACCAGCAGUGAUGCAACCAGUCAGAAUGCUCGCCAUAGUACAUCUAUAGAAAUUUGUUAAUCUUUUGGUGACAUUCUCAAACCCCUAAUAAAGUAUGGCCACUGG